UGGGGAAUUUUGGACAAUGGGCGCAAGCCUGAUCCAGCCAUGCCGCGUGUGUGAAGAAGGCCUUCGGGUUGUAAAGCACUUUCGGCCGGAACGAAAUCGCGCGGAUUAAUAACCCGCGUGGAUGACGGUACCGGAAGAAGAAGCACCGGCUAACUACGUGCCAGCAGCCGCGGUAAUACGUAGGGUGCGAGCGUUAAUCGGAAUUACUGGGCGUAAAGGGUGCGCAGGCGGUUCCGCAAGUCAGGCGUGAAAUCCCCGGGCUUAACCUGGGAAUGGCGCUUGAAACUACGGGACUCGAGUAUGGCAGAGGGAGGUGGAAUUCCACGUGUAGCGGUGAAAUGCGUAGAGAUGUGGAGGAACACCGAUGGCGAAGGCAGCCUCCUGGGCCAAUACUGACGCUCAUGCACGAAAGCGUGGGGAGCAAACAGG
rnacentral:rRNA from 1 species